CGAGCCGGAGCAAAAGAAGAAGAAUACUUCUAAUGUAAAAAAACAGAGUGUGGACAAUUUUUAAACACAACAGGACAAGGAAAAAAAAAAAUUCUCUCUCUCUGCGAACAAACAAUCGCAAUCUCCGUCUUGCUCCGGCGCCGGAUUCGACGGUGUCGGACGCGCCUCCCCUAACCUGUAGCUCUCGUCUUUGUUUGCUCUCUGCUUCUGUUUCCUCUCUUGCGUCCGAUAUGCAGGGGGCUCUGAUUUCUUCCGGCUUCACUUCUCCGGCGACCUACUCAUGAGGUUUCGCUGGUGGCGGAGCUCGUCAGUCUUUGGAGUCCCGGCGAGGCUUGUAAGAUUGGUCAGUUCAGGGAGUCGGUUUUUAGGGAUUGAGGGUUGUCAGAUCUCGUUUUCCGUUUGGAGAUCUCUGGCGUUCCUCUCUGUUAGGCAGCGCGUGAAUCGGUUGAGGAUGUUCCUCUCACCGGCCUCUGUGUGUUAUGGCUCUAUCCGUCGUUUAAAGGCCCGGUGGAAGAGGUUGGUGGCGCGUGAGAAGUUCUGUUUCUUGGUAUCUUGCGACAGAGUUUCACCCCGCCGGUAUCGUUCCAGCUUGUUUCGUUUGCGGCUGUCUUUAAAUCCCGAGUGUCGUAGUUCUAGUCUUGUUGUCCUUGUUGUUUCUUUCGUGUCGUCGUUGUUAUUUCUGUGCAUGUUUUUGACCUGUCUUAGUUGUGGUUGUGCUGGUUUGUUGUUGUUGUUUAGUACUUGGUUGUGUUGUUGUCGUAUCUUGGUUCAAAAAAAAGUAAUUUAGUGUUUUGGUGGUUUCUUGGAACAGUUUGUGGUGGUAGGGUUAAAGCGUGGUGAGAUUUGGGUUAGCAGAGUUUUCUCGUAGAGUGGUAGGUCAGUGAUCGCUUAUCGAUUCGGUUCUUAGACAGAGUGUUUCUGGAGAGUCCGGGUGGUAAGGCCUCGUCUUAGUUGGGAUUGUGUCUGGGCUUCUUUCUAGAGUAAAUGGGCGCAGAGAGCGUCGCAUUUGUAUCCGAAGGAUGUGUUCCUGUCGGGUCUUGAAGUCGCAGGGUUUUGGGUUCUUGGACGGUAUCAUUUGGCGUGCGUGUGCAGCAGCGAUGAGUCGUGGUGCAGGAGGUGGAGAUUAUCGGGUGGCGAGCUAUGGGCAGCAGCGACAAUUCCCGUUCAUUGGCCUCUACAAAGGUAGUGAUGGCAAUGAGAAGCCAAGGAACAGCUAGUCUACACCAAGCUGGCUUCUGUAUUUGCAGAGUGUGCUAUUACGGAAGCACGUAUCAACAUCAAGGAGUUACUUGGUGACAAGAUAAAGCAGGAGAUGAAGUCACACAGAUCACGCUUGAUGCCUUUGCUGACGAAAACAGCUUUAUCUAUCUGCAAUGCAGUGGUAUGGUUAGCAUCCAUAGGAGAGAUGAUCACUAUGCCUACUGGUUUAGCGUAUUUUUUUUGGCUAUGACAUGACAAACAUGUCUCAUACGGCAACAUCCUAGACUUGUAACGUCUAUUAUGCAUAACAAUAAAAGCUUGAAUAAAAGACUUUUUUUAUCAUGUCUCUUAAUCU